UGGUCAGACGCGGUACUGCAGGUGUAACGUAAAGCCUGCCACCUGUCGAGCUGUGCCGGAGGAAACCAGGUGAUGUUGACGUCAUUUUGUGUGAUUGUCACCAGUCGGUUCACUGUGAAGCUGCAGGGAUCCGUUUAACGCUGAACAACAUCAAGACGUCUUUAAUAAAAACCGUUUUAUUUAGCUAGCUAGUGUUCCUGCUGUCUGAAUGCUAGCUAGCGGGAUGCUGCUCAUGCUAAUGGAGACGGACGUUAGCAACAACUGCGGAGGUUAAUUACUGACAGAUAUUAUCAACGUGAAGACAAGAAAGACGACCAGCAGAGAGACGACGGCCACCAUCAUCCCGAUCAGGAACAUCCCGGCACUCAAACCCUCCACGACGCCUCCGAGAGGCUCUGAGACGCAACAACACGCAGAGAGGACAGUCAGGAGGUCUUGGCCUUCAGCGGCCCGUCACAGAAGCCUCCGUAGCUGUCACUCAGGUAGAGGUCGUCGUCAUGGUACCGAUCGCAGGUACCGCCCAGCCUAUCCCCUCCUGCCCCCAGACGCUGUUGUUACCUGUCCGGCAGAGGUGUCGGCGUCCUGUGGACAGCGGCUGGCGAAGUAGGCGGUCUGAUACGCUCUGAUGGACGAGUUGUUGAUGUAGUCGCGGUAGGAGGGCAGAGGGUGGCGCUGCUCCGGCUGCAGCACCUCAUUGGCUGUUGGCAAAACGAGACUCAGCGACGACCACGGUGAAAUAUCUGAUGGCUCCGUUGGCGUCGCUGAACCAGGAGCAGUUGAAGCGGAACAAGAUGGAGGACGGCGUGACCUUCGAUGACCUCUCACUGACACGUACGCUGGGCGGCGGCACCGGAGGACCUGACGGGAAACGAGUUCAUCAAACAGAUUAAACAUCAACUAAACGUCAUUCAACAGUUUUUAUUUCAUCUGUUUGUCUUUUCUCUUGUAAGAAGUUUGGAAGCUCGUUUAACUUCUGACGCCACAAAUGUGUGUUUUUAUUUUCUUAAAUUAUGAGAAUCAAAAUUUUUGCUUCAUGUCUUAGAAAGAGUAAAAUAACAUAAAAUCUAAUGAUGAAAAUUAUUUUAAAAGUCAAGAGUUGUUCAGUCUUAGUAACUCCUGGUUUGACAUAAAGCAGUUUGUUGUUCUGGAUAUUUAAUAUCAAGUAUGGAAGACAAAAUCUGUUUAAUAAAGAAAAAAAAACACAU